rnacentral:rRNA from 1 species
UGGGGAAUAUUGCACAAUGGGCGGAAGCCUGAUGCAGCGACGCCGCGUGAGCGAUGAAGCCCUUCGGGGUGUAAAGCUCUUUCGGCAGGGAAGAUUAUGACGGUACCUGCAGAAGCAGCUGCGGCUAACUACGUGCCAGCAGCCGCGGUAAUACGUAGGCAGCAAGCGUUGUUCGGAGUUACUGGGCGUAAAGGGUGUGUAGGCGGUUCUCUAAGUUUGGUGUGAAAUCUCCCGGCUCAACUGGGAGGGUGCGCCGAAAACUGGAGGGCUAGAGUACUGGAUGGGAGAGUGGAAUUCCUGGUGUAGCGGUGAAAUGCGUAGAUAUCAGGAGGAACACCUGUGGUGUAGACGGCUCUCUGGACAGUAACUGACGCCGAGACACGAAGGCGUGGGUAGCAAAC